AUUGAACGCUGGCGGCAGGCCUAACACAUGCAAGUCGAACGAGUGGCGGACGGGUGAGUAAUGUCUGGGAAACUGCCUGAUGGAGGGGGAUAACUACUGGAAACGGUAGCUAAUACCGCAUACUAUCAGAUGAGCCUAGGUCGGAUUAGCUAGUUGGUGGGGUAAAGGCCUACCAAGGCGACGAUCCGUAACUGGUCUGAGAGGAUGAUCAGUCACACUGGAACUGAGACACGGUCCAGACUCCUACGGGAGGCAGCAGUGGGGAAUAUUGGACAAUGGGGGCAACCCUGAGCCAGCCAUGCCGCGUGUAUGAAGAAGGCCUUCGGGUUGUAAAGUACUUUUGUUAGGGAAGCGGUACCUAAAGAAUAAGCACCGGCUAACUACGUGCCAGCAGCCGCGGUAAUAC
rnacentral:rRNA from 1 species